rnacentral:rRNA from 1 species
UACGAAGGGGGCUAGCGUUGCUCGGAAUCACUGGGCGUAAAGGGUGCGUAGGCGGGUCUUUAAGUCAGGGGUGAAAUCCUGGAGCUCAACUCCAGAACUGCCUUUGAUACUGAAGUAUCUUGGAGUUCGGGAGAGGUGAGUGGAACUGCGAGUGUAGAAGGUGAAAUUCGUAGAUAUUCGCAAGAACACCAGUGGCGAAGGCGGCUCACUGGCCCGAUACUGACGCUGAGGCACGAAAGCGUGGGGAGCAAACAGGG